CAGCAGCCGCGGUAAUACAGAGGGUGCGAGCGUUAAUCGGAUUUACUGGGCGUAAAGCGUGCGUAGGCGGCUUCUUAAGUCGGAUGUGAAAUCCCUGAGCUUAACUUAGGAAUUGCAUUCGAUACUGGGAAGCUAGAGUAUGGGAGAGGAUGGUAGAAUUCCAGGUGUAGCGGUGAAAUGCGUAGAGAUCUGGAGGAAUACCGAUGGCGAAGGCAGCCAUCUGGCCUAAUACUGACGCUGAGGUACGAAAGCAUGGGGAGCAAACAGGAUUAGAUACCCGCGUAGUCCCUGUCUCUUUACC
rnacentral:rRNA from 1 species